rnacentral:SRP_RNA from 1 species
GCCGGGCACGGUGGCUCGUGCCUGUAAUCCUAGCACUUUGGGAGGCCGAGACAGGUGGAUUGCCUGAGUUCAGGAGUUCAAGACCAGCCUGGGCAACACGGUGAAACCCUGUCUCUA